CUAGUUUAAGGGCUCUCCCUUAUUUCUUUUUCUUUCACACUUAAACACAUUUACACACACAUCCCUCUAUCUCUAUACAAAUAAAUAACUGUUUUAGGCAGUAUCCCUUUUGUCUUGUUUUGAUCAAAGCAACAGACACUAGUGGUUUGUACUAAAAUAAUAUAUUUAAAUUCAAAAAAAAAAAAAACAAAAAUCCUAUAGAUUAUAAAUUGCCAAGGCUAAUUGAAUUGAAGCAGCUAAAAUAAUAGUAGUAGUUUGCGUGACAUCAAGAACCUACUUUCCCAAACGAAACCCUACCUUCCCUCACCACCGCCAAUGCACCACCACCUCCUCCUCCUCCUAGUCAAAAAUGCGAGAAAGAGAGGGAAAAAAUUGUAGUGAAAGUGAGUGAGUGAGUUGAGUGAUCAGUGAGAGAAAGAGCGAGAGAGAGUGAGUGAGUUUUUGAUGAAAGCGAUUGAUGAAUUAAAAGCAAAAGGCAGCUGAAACCGAAAUAAUAGGGUUUUUUCUUUUGUUUUUAGAUUAGAUUUUUUUCUUUUUUGGGGCGUUCGUUUCGGUCUCUAGUAAAAAGCCAUUGACUAUUUUGUUUGCGUGCUAUUGAAUUGAUUUUUUUUUUUCCUCUUUUUUGUUUUUUUUUUUUUUUUGGUGCAGUAAAUUCUUCAUUGGAGGCUUAGCCAAGGACACCACCUACGAAACCUUUGUGAGUUACUUUGAGAAGUAUGGAAAGAUAACAGAUUCUGUUAUAAUGAAAGACCGGCACAUACAUUGACCAGAGGGAUUCGGUUUCAUAACCUAUGAGGAUCCUUCUGUUGUUGACCAGAUGAUCCAAGAGACCCAUGUCAUCAAUGGCAAGCAGGUUACUCUAUGUUCUCUUAAAUAUCUCCCACCGGUUCAUCACACCACCACUUCCUCCACCAUUACUUUCCGGUGGGAUUUACCGGGGAAAACUCCAUAGCAACCUCCAUUAUCUCAAACUCUAAAGGUUCCAAGAUUCUUGGUGAUGGACCUAGUGAUUGGAUUGGUUGAUUACAAGUUGCCCGUUUGAGGUAAAAUCAGUUGGUCUUCUGAGGUAAGUGGCUUCUUAAUGGGAUUUUUUAAAAGAAUCAUUAUUGCACUUAAGUAUUUUAUAGUUAAACCCAUUUUAAAGUGUUGUUCAUAGUUUUCCUAAAACAUACUAUUUGAACUAUUCUGUUAAUAAAUUAUGGAAAACGCAUGAAACAUUGAAAGUGCAUCAUAUUUAAUAUUGUACAUGGGGAAAUGCAUGAAUUAUUGGCAUGGAAAGACAAGUGUCUUUGAUCUCAUCAUUUGAUAAUGUAUUUCAUAUAUUUAUGGUGUUAUUUGGAAAUACUAAAAGAUGUUUUAUCUUAAAUUGUAUUAAUUGGGAAGUUAUACAAAAUCUUUUUGGCAAGGAGUGAUUUCGAAGAAUUUGAGAAUUUUGUAGAAAUCUUGGCUAUUGAAUUAUAUUAUGAAACUACUUGGAAGUAAAAUAUGUUUUUUGAAUACAUAUAACUUAUGGGCUUUUGAUGUGGGUUUGCCAUUGUGCUAUGUUAUUGGUGAUUACCUAGUCUUUGUGAUGAUGUCUGUGUGACGUGUGAUUGCCCUAUCUUUGUGACAAUAUCUUUGUGAUGUGUGAUUACCUGUCUUUAUGACAACAAGCCACAUUAGAGCCUCCCACUUUGCAUGACGUAGGUAAAUCCUUGAAUGUGUGAGUAAGGUCACUGCCCAUAGGGCCAAAAGACCAUAUGCAAAAGGGGUUCUAUGUGACACGUCAUUGCCUGUUUCCCAUAGGGGAAGAGGUAAAUCUUUGAGUGUGUGGGUGAGGCUAGGCAGGGCCAAUAAACCACAUGCAAAAGAGGUACUACAUGACGCGUUAUUCCCUGCCCCCCAUGAGGGGGAGAGGUAAAUCCUUGAGAGUGUGAUUGAGGGUGUUGCCUAUAGGGCCGAUAAACCACAUGCCAAAAGAGGUACAUAUCAUGCAAUUGUGUUUGGGUUCUAACAUGUCUGUGGCAGUAUGAUGUCUCGGUGACAUUUACGUCUUUGUGGCACCUUGUCAUGUGGCCUUGUUUCUGGUUUUGAAAUAGCAUUGGACAUUGUUUAUGACUUACAGUAAACAUUAUGUAGUUUCAUGGUUAUUUUGGGAAGCUUGGACCCACAUUAUUUUAAUCAUUCUCGUCAUGUUUUUAUUGAAAUUGAUUUUGUAGAAAAUAAUAGUAAUUCUCAAAUUAUAGCAUGUUUUGUAAUGUGCUCGUUGUCGUUAAACUUGCAUUUCCCCCAACCCAUUAGUUAUGCUACUUACUGGGCUUUAGCUCAUCCUACUCUCUCAUAGUUUUACAAACUGGAAAGCAUGGACACAGUAGUUGGGUUGCCGUGUUAGUAUCCAACACCCUUUGUCGCGGUGGCUUGUGGAUAUGGUAACCAUGCUAGCUGUAGGCGGCAGAUCUCUAUAAAUUUACCAGAGAGAGAUAGAAACUAAUCUGUUUGUUUUCAUUUUUUUUGUUUUUUGUUUUUUGGUCUUGAGAUGAAAAGAAACUAAUUCGUUCUCUAAAGAAGAAAGAAAGAAGUGUGGCACUGUGGCUAUAGAUGGGGUGUAGGUGGGGAAAUUAAUUGGGUUUUGCCAAAAAGAAAGAAGUGUGGCUAUAAAUGGGGGUAACCUUGUGUUAAUUCAUAUGGAGUUUUGAAAUAGUUUAUGUAUAAUUGGAGGCACAUGAUUCAAUUGUAGCAUUUGUAAUUGUGUUAUAGAGCUUUGACUUAUAUUGUGGAGAGUUCAGAAUGUUUACUUAUCUUUAUCAUAAAGAAAGGGGGAAAAAAUCCCUUACCAUU